UUGUAGAUCCUCUUAUUAGAUGUUGUUAUGAGCUGAAUAUUGUGUAACUAGUAAUCAGUUUGGUCCUUUUGGUCCUGUAUGUAGGAGCCGCCGUCUGAAUAUUCUCAACCGAGGGUAAGCCCAUACCGUCUUGCAGCUCACCUGACCUCAGCUUUUGCCAUUUAUUGUGGACUUUUCUGGACCGCUCUCUCUGUUGUUAUGCCUGAACCACCAGCUGAGUCACUGGCUUGGGUUCGGGGAGCAGCUAAAGUGAAGAAGCUUGCAUUACCAGUAAGCUUAAUUGUUGGUAUCACUGCAAUUUCAGGAGCAUUUGUUGCUGGAAAUGAUGCUGUAAGUAAACUAACAAACUUGGAUCUGAGCUUCUAUGAUAUUAGUUACAGAAAGGAAGCUGAGUAUUUUGAUCUCUCCGCUUGUGAAUUGUAGGGUCGUGCAUUCAACACAUUCCCAAAAAUGGGUGACACAUGGAUCCCUGAUAAUAUAUUUGAGAUGAAACCACUUUUACGCAAUUUUUUCGAGAACACAGCAACUGUUCAGGUACACCAUUGACACAAAGCUUUCUCAAUUUGCGUCAAGAGUCUCAAAAAGACUGAAACUUUACUUAAAUUUCAGCUUGAUCAUCGCCUUCUUGCAACCACAACGCUAAUAGCAAUUGGAACAAUGUGGUGGUUCACUAGGAAGCUAGACAUACAUCCAGCCGUUAAAGCUUUGAUCGGAAGUACUGUUGGAAUGACUGCUGUUCAGGUAAACAAUCAACAUAAACUUUCAAGGAAACUUGAAAUCAAAACCAUUGAUGGAGUUUUUCGUAUUUUGCAGGUGACAUUAGGUGUAUCAACGCUUCUGAGCUAUGUUCCGGUUUCACUAGGAAGUGCACACCAAGCAGGAGCUUUAACACUUCUCACUUUGAUGCUACUUCUCAAUCACACUCUUCGGAGGCCAUCGCCUUCUCUUCUCAAAUCCCUUCCACAAGUUGCUAAAUCAAAUUUCAGCUAAGCAGCCCUCUUCACCAAAAUCUUUCCUUUUUCAUUAUUUACUAAAAAACGAUUCUUUGGCUAACUAUUAUACUAGAUCGAAUCAUGUGUCAAUGAUGUUGUAUUAUCAGUCACGAUUCGAAAAAUAAAUACGAAAACAAUUAACAUAUGAAUCCCAGAAUUUGAGUGUUUGUUGGUGUUUAUGUUUCAUUGAUAGCUUCCUUGUUGUUUCAUUAGUAUCAUUACCAAUAAAAGAUAAUUGGAUCAUUCAAGUUUGAGUCAAAAUUUUCUUAUACCAAUUUGGUUCAAUGCUAAAUUUUGGUUCGGUUUUGGUUUAGAUACGAUUCGGUUAUUUCAGUCCGGUUCAAAUCCGUAAGUGUUGUGGAUAAUGUUAAGAGAGUUUUUGGCGUUUUGGGUAUAGGACUAUACACGUGUCGUAAAACGGUGGCUUAUCGGCUUCCACGUGUCAGUAGCGCACCAUCUUCCUUUCUAUAUAGCCAAUGCUACAAAAUUCUCUGUUAACUUCACACUACUAGUAUGGAGAAUCAUGGAGGAAGAAGAAGAGACAUAGCCAUAACCGAUGGAGAAAGGAGGACUGGUUCUUCGGUUGUGGCUGCAACCGUAGCAGCUGUAGCAGUGGUCGGGCCGCUUUUUGGUCUGAUGAGUUUCAGCUUUGUGGCGACGGUGACUCUGUUUCUGAUCGCUUCUCCAUUGCUGCUGACAUUUGCUCCAGUUUUUAUGGUGAUGGUAGCGGUUCUUGUGGCGGCUAUGGUUGGUGUUGGGGUAGCUGCAGCCAUGUGGAUGAUGGGAAUAGCUGCUUUGGUAUGUUGUGGCCGAGAGAUUGGUAUUGAAACCGGAGUGGCUGGGAGGAUGGUUGAGUCGGUUGUGAGAGAAUUAGGUUAUGGUCGGAGUCGUUACUUACGAAACAAAUCAGAGUAUGGCUAUUCUUCUUCUUCUCGAGCUUACUAGUUCAAACUUGGAAAAAUUCAUGGGAAUUUCAAGGAGAUGGUGAAUAAAGAAAACACAGAGAUAUGGUUAUGAUAAGAAAACAAAAAUUUAAGCAGAAGUUUUUCGAGAGAUAAACCUGUAAUGUCUAUCCAAAGAAAUCUACUUAUGCUAUAUCAAUUUUUUUGUCGUGUUUUUUUUUUCCUAAGUCAAUACAAACAGAUUUAAAAAAAAAGAAAAGAUUGUAAGUUUCUUUUUGGUCAAAAAGAUUGUUAACUUUAAAUGAUAUAAUAAUUUUAAAAGGUUGAAUUAAUUACAGCUUUUGGGGGAUGGAUUAUCCAAAGUACUACAAAUUUUCAUGUCUAUCUGAAAUGUUCGAAUUAUCCAAAUCCACAUUAUCCGGAUUAUUCAAAGUUCAAAUACAAAAGAGGAAAAAAAAAAUGUAUUAUCCAUAUUCCUCGGGGGAUUUAUCGAAAACAUAACUUUCCAAUAUUUAAAAAGAUUAAAAUAUAUAUGAAUUAGAAAUCUAAAAAUAUUUAUCUGUAUGUUGAAUUUUUAUAUUAAAAAGUGUACUACUGUAUCUAAUUCCAUAAAUAUUACUGUAUAUUUUAUUUUUGAUAUCAGGUUUUUACUUUUUGAUCAAUAUUCAUGUUUGUAUCGGUGGAUUACCACUACAAGUUUAAAACAAAAUUAAAGAUGACAGUAAGUAGGUAUCUAAAGGUACAUAAGUGACUUAGAACAAAAGGUACAUAAGUGACUUAGAACAAAAGGUACAUAAGUGACUUAGAACAAAAGGUACAAGUUCGUACGCGAAAAAAAAAGACAAAAGACAAAAGAAAAAGGUACUUCUACAAGAUUCUCUGUGCUUUCACGAAUGCUAUCACUAAUGCACACGAACAGUCUCGCGAUAUUCUCCUACUUAACGAAGACAUUCCCUUACAAAAAUGAAAAAAGAAUUGUCAUAACUUUUUUAAAACUGUUCCUGCAGAACUUCAAUAUGAUUCACAAUUAUAUAAAAAAGAGUUCAAUUUAAAUUCAUGAUUCAAACCCUAGUUGUUAUACAAAUCAUUCUACCCAUCAUAACCAAAAUGUUAAAAAUUUAUAGUUUGCAUAGAGAAUAUCAGAAGAAUUAUAUAAUUAAUCUAAAGUGUAAAUAUAUCAAGAAUAUUAUUUUAUGGGUGAAUAUUCUGAUAAUGAAAUGAAUGUAUAAGGAGUUGACCAGGCGUUGAGUGGGUGACCUACCGGCCAAAGGGAAUCACACGCUCUGUAGCGUUGAAUUCUUUAAAGAGUUUAAUCAAUUCAUGCACAUUUGAUGCUAAUUUUUACUAUGUUUUCAUUUUUGUUAAAUCAAUUUUAUUAUAUAUAUGCAUUCAUUUCCUUUCUUCUUUUGCAAUUUAAAAGGCUUGAUUACAAGAAAGUAAAGAAAUCAAAGUUUGGCAGUUCUAAUUCUUUUGGGCAAUCUUUGAUUUAUAAGCCUUUUUCAUUUCUUAACCAAAUUUUCUUUUUUCAUUUGUUGGUAAAUUAACUAAAGAGUAAUCAAAUCGAUCGAGAGAUAAAAACUAGAAAGAAGAAAUGGGUCGGAUUCCAUGUUGUGAAAAGGAGAAUGUGAAGAGAGGACAAUGGACUCCUGAAGAAGACAACAAAUUGGCUUCUUAUAUUGCUCAACAUGGUACUCGUAAUUGGCGUCUCAUCCCUAAGAACGCUGGUAAUUUUCGUGUCUUUUAAAUUUUUCUUUUAUCAAGUAAUAAUGUUCUUGUAUGUGAUCAUUGUAAUCUAAUAUAAUGGAUCGGCAUUCUAAUAGGGUUGCAAAGAUGCGGGAAGAGUUGUAGGCUGCGAUGGACGAACUAUUUGCGUCCGGAUUUGAAACACGGCCAGUUCUCGGAGACUGAGGAACAUAUCAUUGUCAAGUUUCACUCUGUUCUUGGUAACCGGUAUGCAUGAUCACUAGAUCUAAUUAACUACUGUUUUACGGUUUUCUUGAAUUUUAUUAUUCUAGGUAUAUAUACAAUUACACACGGACUCAUAAAUAGCGGGUUUGUUUCAUAAGGUUUUGAAAUCUUGAUGCUGGCUUACUGAUGAAUACCUUUUCUGAGUUUGUGGACAAGUUUCUUGGGAAGCAAGAAACUGAAUAAGACAUAAGUUUUGUUUUCUGUACCAAAUCUAAGUAUAGGGUUUUAAACUUCUGACAAGUUUAAUAUUUCUUAAAAUAAAUUUGUUUUGCUAUAUACAAUCACCAAUUAGACUCACAAAACAGAAUUUGAAAAUUUGAUGAUGAAUAGUUUGGGACUUUUUCAUGAGAAACAACAGUUAACAUCUUUCUUGGGAAACAAUAAAACGAAUAAGGUAUACAUAAAACCUUUCUACUAAUAUUUUGACAUAUAUGGUUCAGGUGGUCGUUGAUUGCGGCGCAACUUCCUGGUCGAACGGACAACGAUGUGAAAAACUAUUGGAACACGAAGCUGAAGAAGAAGUUGUCGGGAAUGGGAAUAGAUCCAGUGACCCACAAGCCUUCCUCGCAUCGAAUGUGGGGAAGAGGAUUGGGAAUCAUGUUUGCUUUGCCGUUUUCUUAUUUUCUGCGGAAAGGGUAUAUUACUCUACGUCUUGGAGUUCAGCUCUCUGGUUUAUUUGCGCUUGGUGCUGGACAAGGUCUCAUUGGUUGGUGGAUGGUUAAAAGUGGUUUAGAGGUAAAGAUUAGGAACUGUUGUAGAUCCUCUUAUUAGAUGUUAUUAUGUGCUGUUUAACCAGUAAGUUUGGUCCUGUAUGUAGGAGCCGCCGUCUGAAUAUUCUCAACCGAGGGUAAGCCCAUACCGUCUUGCAGCUCACCUGACCUCAGCUUUUGCCAUUUAUUGUGGACUUUUCUGGACCGCUCUCUCUGUUGUUAUGCCUGAACCACCAGCUGAG
rnacentral:lncRNA from 1 species